rnacentral:rRNA from 1 species
UACGGAGGGUGCGAGCGUUGUUCGGAAUCAUUGGGCGUAAAGGGCGUGUAGAUGGUCUGUUAAGUCAUGUGUGAAAGCCCUCAGCUUAACUGGGGAAGUGCGCAUGAAACUGACAGGCUAGAGUACCGAAGAGGAAGGUGGAAUUCCCGGUGUAGCGGUGAAAUGCGCAGAUAUCGGGAAGAACACCCGUGGCGAAGGCGGCUCUCUGGGACGGUACUGACGCUGAGACGCGAAAGCGUGGGGAGCGAACGGG